rnacentral:lncRNA from 1 species
UGUAUUUUUAGUAAAGACGGGGGUUUCACCGUGUUAGCCAGGAUGGUCUCGAUCUCCUGACCUUGUGAUCCGCCUGCCUCAGCCUCCCAAAGUGCUGGGAUUACAGGCGUGAGCCACCGCGCCCGGCCCCCUCUGUGCUUUUAACAUUUCCCUUUUGUUGGGGGAAAGUGAGAGUCUCAGAGGCAGGAUGGCAGGCUCAGGCAGGAAGAUGAGGCCUCAGAUAAUGUCUUUUCAUAUUCUCCCCCUCUUUUAAGCCUCUGUGGGCUCCAGAAUGAGUUGAACCGCUGUAUCUUCUCAUCACAGCGUUUCCCUCUUUGGACAUGGGCUGAGACACACAGAUUUCACGACUUCCUCUUUGGAGAAGGCAUGAAAGGACCUGCAGCCACGGCCCCAUACGUUUCAAGAGAGGCAAGGCUUUCACCCUCCGUGUCUUUCACAGCCAUCCGCCCACAGCCUCUUAACUUCCUGACAUUAAACAAAAACGAAACCGAGGUUUCCCUAAUUGGGGAUCAUCAUCAAGAAUCUGUCAUGGGGUCUCUUAGAAAUUAAUUCAACUCGAUUGUUCUUCAGACCUCCGCUAAGGAGCCGGCGUGUUACUCUCGACACCAACUUGUCCCAUCUUCAUCCUAUAUUAGCUCCCUAACAGGGUUGCACGAUCAGCUCCUAGGCUGCAAAUUAGAAAAAUGGGCGAUGAUUCCAGCAGCUACGCCUCGGCACUCUCACGCCGGAUUACUGUGAUGGUCUCCUUGCAAGGCUUCCGGAUCUUUCUAUGUGGGUUGAAAUUGGUUCCAACUGUAACUUCCUGUUGAUCUCCCACCCUGAAUUCCCUCAUUGAUGCAACAUUUUGUUAAAAAAGAACUUCACCGAAUUACCCAUUUCAUGGAAAUUGCAAUAGGGUAUUGACUUGUAUAGUUAAUGAAGCUUUCAAAAAAGCACUCCUGUAGCCAUCAUCUAAAUGCCCCUCUGGCCACCAAAACUGUGCAUGUAAUUCACUGUAGUGAGGAUUCCUGAGUCUCCCUAAGGGAGAUCCAGUAGGAUCAGUUCUGGGUGGGAUCCGUCAGCAAACACAACCUAUUGCCCGCCUCCUUCUGGUUUCCAGUCCCGGGGGGUAAUUGAUGUCUUAGUGCACACAGAGCCGGACCAUGGAGCUAAGUAGAUAUGGGUUUCCAACUCAUCCCGGCCACUUCCCAGGGGCAUGUCCAGGGGCAAGUUAGUAACUCUCUUGAACCUCAGUUUCCUCAUCUGCAGAGUGUGGAUCAUCACAAACCUACCUUCUGGGGUUGCUAGGGGAUUAAAGGAGAUAAGGAGCAUAGCAGGGCUGGCCCUGUGCCUGCCUGGAGUGGGCACCAAGCUGACUUCGCUGGGGCUCUCCCGGCCCCACAUACCUGCAAUGGUUUUGCCUUUGGCUCGAUGUCUGAAGCCUUUGCAUUUCUGAAGGGAGUGAUGUAAAUCAAGCCAUGCUUAUGAUUAAAAACAUCCAACGUUCAGCUCAGUUGUUUGUCCUAUUUUGGCAACAUCCUAUUCUUUUGUUGUUGCUGUUUUUGAGAUAGGAUCUUGCUCUGGGGCCCAGACUGGAGUGCAGUGGUACAAUCAUGGCUCACUGCAGCCUCAACCUCCUGGGCUCAAGUGAUCCUCCUGCCUCAGCCUCCCGAGUAGCUGGGACUAUAGGUGUUCACCACCAUGCCUGGCUAGUUUUUUAAUUUUAAUAGAGAUGAGGUCUCAUUAUGUUACCCAGACUGAUUUCAAACACCCAGGCUCAAGUGAUCCUCCCACCUCAGCCUUCCAAAGUGCUGCCAUUACAGGUAUGAGCCACCACACCUGGCCAACCUUCUCCUCUUAUCUGUGGGAAACCUUGGGGCAUUACUGAAGAAAAAAUUGUGAUGUCCAAAUCCUGCACUGUACCCCAGUGCAAGGUGGUAGGUGUUGAAGUAGAAAAUGAUAAGACGUAAAUCGUCAGCAAAAGCCAAAGAGAGAGGUAAAAAAUGUAUGAGCACUAAAUGAAUUGAUUUUCAUAAAAUUAGCGUUAUACUGUAUAAUAAUGUUUCCCAAUAUAAAGUCUUUUUCAUAUUAAUAUUUAUAACAUUGUAAAGAUUAAAUCAUACCUUUGUGAUUAUUUUAAUUUUUUUUAACCUUAUU